GGCCCUUCGUUGGGUAAAGAUGGGGGGUCUGGCCUGCCCAGUGACAUUGUUAUGUUAAACGGCCGCGGUAUCCUGACCGUGCAAAGGUAGCGUAAUCAUUUGCUCAUUAAUUGUGGGCUGGUAUGAAUGGCUUGACGAGGAUAGGACUGUCUCUUUGUGAUUAUGUGGAAAUUAUUUUUUAGGUGAAGAAACUUAAAUGUGACUGAGGGACGAUAAGACCCCAUCGAGCUUUAGUGGAAGCUUAGAGGAUGUAAGCAUAGUAUGAAAUUGAAGUGUUUAGGUGAAUCUUUGGUUGGGGCGACCGAGGAGUAGAAAUAACCUCCUGUUGUGGUUUAUGGCUUGUUGGCGAGCGAUCUGGCUAAUUAUGUAGAUAUAAAGAAUAAGUUACCGUGGGGAUAACAGCGUAAUCUUUUUGGAGAGUUCUUAUUGAAAAAAGGGUUUGCGACCUCGAUGUUGGACUAAGAUUUCCUGAAGGUGCAGAAGCUUUUAAGGGUUAGUCUGUUCGACUAUUAAAAUCUUACA
rnacentral:rRNA from 1 species